rnacentral:tRNA from 1 species
GGGAGGUUCGCAUAGUGGCAAUUGCGGCGGACUGUAAAUCCGCUCCCUCAGGGUUCGGUGGUUCGAGUCCACCACCUCCCACCA